GAGUUUGAUCUUGGCUCAGAUUGAACGCUGGCGGCAUGCCUAACACAUGCAAGUCGAACGGCAGCACAGCAGUAGCAAUACUGUGGGUGGCGAGUGGCGGACGGGUGAGUAAUGCAUCGGGACCUACCUGAACGUGGGGGAUAACGUAGGGAAACUUACGCUAAUACCGCAUACGUCCUACGGGAGAAAGCGGGGACCUUCGGGCCUCGCGCGGUCAGACGGACCGAUGUUCGAUUAGCUAGUUGGUAAGGUAAUGGCUUACCAAGGCGACGAUCGAUAGCUGGUCUGAGAGGAUGAUCAGCCACACUGGAACUGAGACACGGUCCAGACUCCUACGGGAGGCAGCAGUGGGGAAUAUUGGACAAUGGGCGCAAGCCUGAUCCAGCAAUGCCGCGUGUGUGAAGAAGGCCUUCGGUUGUAA
rnacentral:rRNA from 1 species